UACGUAGGGGGCAAGCGUUGUCCGGAAUCAUUGGGCGUAAAGAGCGUGUAGGCGGCUCGGUAAGUCCGCCCUGAAAACCCGAGGCUCAACCUCGGGCCUGCAGUGGGUACGGGCAGACUAGAGUGCGGUAGGGGAGAUUGGAAUUCCUGGUGUAGCGGUGGAAUGCGCAGAUAUCAGGAGGAACACCAAUGGCGAAGGCAGAUCUCUGGGCCGUAACUGACGCUGAGGAGCGAAAGCAUGGGGAGCGAACAGG
rnacentral:rRNA from 1 species